GACGAACGCUGGCGGCGUGCCUAACACAUGCAAGUCGAACGGUCCGGCGCUCAACCGACCCUCAGUCUAACUGUAGGGGAAGUUGAGUGCCGGGUAGUGGCGGACGGGUGAGUAACGCGUGGGCAACCAACCCUGUACAGUGGGAUAACACCGGGAAACCGGUGCUAAUACCGCAUGACACCUAUAUGGUGCAUACCGUAUAGGUUAAAGGAUUUAACCGGUACAGGACGGGCCCGCGUCCCAUUAGCUAGUUGGUGAGGUAACGGCCCACCAAGGCGACGAUGGGUAGCCGACCUGAGAGGGUGACCGGCCACACUGGGACUGAGACACGGCCCAGACUCCUACGGGAGGCAGCAGUGGGGAAUAUUGCGCAAUGGGGGGAACCCUGACGCAGCGACGCCGCGUGAGCGACGAAGGCCUUCGGGUCGUAAAGCUCUGUUCUUGGGACGAAGGAAAUGACGGUACCCAAGGAGAAAGCCCCGGCUAACUACGUG
rnacentral:rRNA from 1 species